GAUGAACGCUGGCGGCGUGCCUAAUACAUGCAAGUCGAGCGAACAGACGAGGAGCUUGCUCCUCUGACGUUAGCGGCGGACGGGUGAGUAACACGUGGAUAACCUACCUAUAAGACUGGGAUAACUUCGGGAAACCGGAGCUAAUACCGGAUAAUAUGUUGAACCGCAUGGUUCAACAGUGAAAGACGGUCUUGCUGUCACUUAUAGAUGGAUCCGCGCCGCAUUAGCUAGUUGGUAAGGUAACGGCUUACCAAGGCGACGAUGCGUAGCCGACCUGAGAGGGUGAUCGGCCACACUGGAACUGAGACACGGUCCAGACUCCUACGGGAGGCAGCAGUAGGGAAUCUUCCGCAAUGGGCGAAAUCCUGACGGAGCAACGCCGCGUGAGUGAAGAAGGUCUUCGGAUCGUAAAACUCUGUUAUUAGGGAAGAACAAAUGUGUAAGUAACUAUGCACGUCUUGACGGUACCUAAUCAGAAAGCCACGGCUAACUACGUG
rnacentral:rRNA from 1 species